rnacentral:misc_RNA from 5 species
GCUUUCAGAUGAGCGCAUCAAAAGUUUAGGUGUUCACAUUAUGAAAGCACGACAUUGCUCACAUUGCUUCCAGUGUUUACUUAGCCAGCCGGGUGCUGGCUUUU